CCAACGGCUCUUUUAAGAGCCACCUACUUCUUCUCAAAAAGGGCUG
rfam:Amazona aestiva scaffold_1764, whole genome shotgun sequence.